AAAAUGUCAGUGUUCGGAGUGAGCGACUCCUGGGAAGAUCCCUUCCACCUUUUUACGGCGUCCUCUUCCUGUUUCUCUUCCUCUUCCUCUGCCAGCAGGCGCGUUGCAGUGGAUAUGGAUGUGAGCGUGUGCAUCACUAGGAGAUGCCAGCUCUCGACCACUUUCCCUGGCACCAAGUUACAGACGCUUUUCGAGGUUUUGCAAUCGAUGAUGUACCCUUUAUGAUUUCUGAGAGGUUUGCUCAGAAAGUCGUCAGAGAAACACAGUCAGUCAAUUUAAUGGGCAUUACCAUCAAAUCCCCACCAGAGAUCGAGGAGGAAUUUUCAUACUUCUUCAAUAUUGAGCUCAGUGCUGCUGCUUAUCCCUGAUCGAGGUGAUGAAUCUGACUUCAAACAGUCCGCCAACAGCAAACCAGACAAACCAUCACAGCACCGGAAACGUGACCUGCCUGUGGGUCUUUAGUCCAGAAUGAAUGUGGGUAAAACCUCACGUUCAGAAGGGUUUGGAUAUAAUUAUAAAACAUAUUUAUCGUUUAAAAAAAAAAGACAAAUAUUGUCAAACAUUAGCAGCAGUAUUCUUUAAGAAUAUUCUUUAUUUUAGUUAUACUCUAGUUAAUUAAUCUAAAAGGAAAAAAUGUUAUUUUAAUAAAAAACUGUAUUUGUAGGCUCUAUAAAUCUAG
rnacentral:lncRNA from 1 species